CCCCUCCGAUUAUUCACCAACAAACCCCAUGGGCUAGGCAGGCGCGUCUCCUUCCCCUGCUCGCAACCUCCCCCUCUCCAGAUCUGAAAUUCGCCGCGCUCCCGUGCUCGUUCCCCGCACGCAAACUCGAGAUCCAGAUCUCGCUGAGAGCCCCUUGUUACCUUUCAUCAUCAUGGUGCCGAAUUCCUUGCCCCCUUCGCGGAACCGUGGGUUUGCUCUGUUUCGAUUUGUUAGGAAAAAUCCGUUUGUUUCCUGAUGCGCAGGCUCGGGUCGUCUGACCGGUGGAUCGGGUGUGCUGCCGGGUGAAUCGAGCUGCGGCGGCCUGGAUCUGGACCUGCCCACGGAGGCUACGGAUCCGCGCUCAAUCUGCACCGAUCUGGCGGGCCGCGGCGUGAUUGGAUUGCUCCGACGUGGGCUGGAGGGGGCGGCGGAGUUUUGCCAGGGCGUGGCCGGCCGGCGGGACCUCUUCCUCUGCUCCACCGCGCGGGAUCUCUCUGUGCUGAUAAUUAUUGGAUGAAUUUCGAUAAUUAUUAGUAGAUCUAAGAGAUGCGAACCGUGCCGCCUUGAAGAGCCGAGGUAAGGUGAACCAUGUAACGUUGAGUCGGCGUGCGUUGAGGGCACAAAAAAAAGAGAGAAAAAAAAAAGAUGUGACCUGAGAGAGGCCUUUGCCAUGAUGGGUGCGCUCGCAUGGCAGGCCACGGCAAUAAAAACAUAUUCUUGUGUCCCGGGGAAGAGAUCGCACGGGGGUUGAUUUUUUUCGCCCCGGGUUCUCCUCCCCCCUUGGUGUCCCUGUCCCCGUUGCUUUGUGUUCUCCGCUGCUCCUCUUCGCUUCGGUACUCGUGCAUCGCCACUGCAAAAAUCUGGAGCUCCAGCGAUACCCCAAAGGUACAAUCGGUAAUUUAGUCUGCAAUUUCCUUUACGUUCAUUUGCUCUUCGCAACGCUUAUAUUAUGUGAUCUCGCGUAUUAGCGUUAAAAAGGCCCUUAAAGCACCUUGAAUAAGCAUCUCAUCCACUUCACUCGAACCAGUUGUCAAGAUGAGAAAUUUUAAUGCUCCCAGGACUCUCAAAAGAUCACUUGACCUUCUAAAUUUCAACAAACCAGUAAAGCAAACUUAAGAUGCAUCCACAUAUUUGAGCGCACUUCUGGUUAAAAACUUCGAAUCACUGAGCUGACAGAUGCACAAUGGAUUCGUAUAUAUUUUUCCACCGAAUUUAUCUAACACAUGCUUGUCCAGUUUGCUGCUACAUCAUAGCUCGUGAUAUGGAAUUUUCAAUUCGAUCUGUUAUGCACUCCAGACUUUUGUGUACUUUGUCUAUUUGUCUAUGUAUAUGCAUAUGUGUGUCAUUUUACUAUAUACUGAUUUGGAACAUUUCUUUUUACAUAGCAUUUUUGUUAAGCCCUGGCAACUGUAGGGGGCGUGUAGGGGGUUUCAAAGUAGCUGUAUGAUGAACUGUACUAUUGGUCUGUUUUGUUAAGCACUAUCAAUUGUUGGGUUUGUAGAGGGUUUCAAAAUUGCUGUAUGCUGCUAUUAUCAAGAAUAUACAUACCUACGAAAAGAGGAGGCUGCCCUGAUGGAGGUUUGCACGAGCUGAAGAUGUUGGCAAUAUGAACCUGAUGACAUUACGAGCUGAAGAUUUUGACAAUAUGAACGAUCCGGUUUGUUGCUUUGCCUCGUGGUGCUAAGUGUACCUGAUGAAUUUUAAUCUCAUUGCUGGAGCUUGUACGGUGACUCCAUUUUUUCAGGUAGUUAAAUCAACUCAUUUAGAAGUCGGGGACACUGGGUUUUCUGGAGAUUCCAUUGAUGAGGGUUGUAAUUACUAAUGUUCAAUCUUAUGAGUCUUUGGAAUUAAUCCAUGAGCAGUGGAGAUGGACUUAAUCUGAUUUAAGGUGAUUGGUAAGUCGGUGACAUGAUUUAAGGUAAAAUUGGUCCGGGUUGUGCAAGUUAAAAUUAUUACUGUCUCUUUGUAAGCUUAUACGUUGGAUUGAUCACCGUGAGAUUUCUGUCAUUUCCAUGUUUUAUCACGAGAAGUUAAUUUUGUUCAAUUAGGCGUGUCUGGGCAGAAGCAGUAGCAGAGGUGGCAAAGGGAACUUGGCUACUUUUUGUUGUAAUUUGUCGGUGAAGUUUACUAUUUUUGUAGCAAUUUUGUUCAGUAAAUCUUAAUGCCCUAGAGGAAGUUGUUUCAA